GAGCAUGGUGUAGUGGUUUGAACAUUGGACUACAACUCUGGAGAACAGGGUUUGAAUCCCUGCUUGGCCA
rnacentral:tRNA from 1 species